ACGAACGCUGGCGGCGUGCUUAACACAUGCAAGUCGCACGGAAAGGCCCUGCUUUUGUGGGGUGCUCGAGUGGCGAGCGGGUGAGUAACACGUGAGUAACCUGCCCUUGACUUUGGGAUAACUUCAGGAAACUGGGGCUAAUACCGGAUAGGAGCUCCUGCUGCAUGGUGGGGGUUGGAAAGUUUCGGCGGUUGGGGAUGGACUCGCGGCUUAUCAGCUUGUUGGUGGGGUAGUGGCUUACCAAGGCUUUGACGGGUAGCCGGCCUGAGAGGGUGACCGGCCACAUUGGGACUGAGAUACGGCCCAGACUCCUACGGGAGGCAGCAGUGGGGAAUAUUGCACAAUGGGCGGAAGCCUGAUGCAGCAACGCCGCGUGCGGGAUGACGGCCUUCGGGUUGUAAACCGCUUUCGCCUGUGACGAAGCGUGAGUGACGGUAAUGGGUAAAGAAGCACCGGCUAACUACGUG
rnacentral:rRNA from 1 species